GGGGGUAGCUCAGUGGUAGAGUGCGUGCUUAGCAUGCACGAGGUGGUGGGUUCAAUCCCCUAGUACCUCCA
rnacentral:tRNA from 1 species